rnacentral:rRNA from 1 species
AUUGAACGCUGGCGGCAGGCCUAACACAUGCAAGUCGAGCGGCAGCACGGGUACUUGUACCUGGUGGCGAGCGGCGGACGGGUGAGUAAUGCCUAGGAAUCUGCCUGGUAGUGGGGGAUAACGCUCGGAAACGGACGCUAAUACCGCAUACGUCCUACGGGAGAAAGCAGGGGACCUUCGGGCCUUGCGCUAUCAGAUGAGCCUAGGUCGGAUUAGCUAGUUGGUAGGGUAACGCCUACCAAGGCGACAAUCCGUAGCUGGUCUGAGAGGACGACCAGCCACACUGGGACUGAGACACGGCCCAGGCUCCUACGGGAGGCAGCAGUGGGGAAUAUUGGACAAUGGGGGAAACCUGAUCCAGCGACGCCGCGUGUGUGAAGAAGGCCU